GCGCUGUCCUUCUUGGACUGCACACACUUUGCAACACUCUGAAGACCAGUGGCUUGGGACAGUGGGGGGUUUAUUGCCCUUAUUAUCUCCGUCAGCCCAUCUUCAUUCUUCAGUGCGUGUUAAUUGGUAUUAUCUCCGUGUUAAGGAAAUUGAUAGGCAAACACACCAAGCUCCAUUGCUCUCCAACCAGACCACCAGUCCUUGACUCCUCCUGUCAAAUUUCUGGAGCUGCCUCCCUAGUCACAGAGGACCAGACUCCAUGGGCAUCAGGACAUAAGGAGAGAGGAACAGGAAGGCUCUUUUCUUCACCUCAAUCCCACUGGGCUAACACUUGGGAUGGUCACUAGAGUUCACUCUGUACUGUAUGUUUCUGGCUCUAGAAUUUCAAGUUCUACUUAGACUCCUAUCUGAAGGCGGCUCCCCAUUGAGGUAAAAGAAGAGGUUUGAACUUAAGAGCACAAUGCACAGGUCUUUUCUGAUCUGAACAAUGGCUAUAGCUGUGGCUCCCCAAAUCCAGACUCCUCAAGUACAAGAAGAGCUUCAAAGAGUGAAGCCCGAAGAUUCCCACUGGGAACAGAAAGUUUUCCUUCAAAGGCAUGACCCUGGACCUGAGACGUGCCAGCGCUUUUGGUAUUUUCACUAUCAAGAAGCAUCUGGACCCCGGGAGGCCCUCAACACCUGGAGUUCUAUCAUCAAUGGCUGAGACCAGAGAAGUGUAUGAAAGAGCAGUUCCUGGACUUGCUAGUCCUGGAACAGUUCCUGUCCUUCCCCAGGAGAUCUAGAUCUGGGUUAGAUAAAAGCAUCCACAGAGUGGAGAGGAGGCAGGAAUCUGCCCUGGUGGAAGAUUGGCAGGAAGAACCUGGAAGACAGGAGCGGCAGGCAGUGGUGGCGAUCUCACAGUCAGAACCAGAAGACCAGAUGAUCCACAGUCCCAAAGUGAAACUCGGACCCUUCCACAAGAUCAGUAAGCAGCAACAGUGUGGGGAGAGAGAAGGGACCCUUCCGUGGGGAGAAUGUGAAACCCCUUCCGACUGCAGGAAGUGGGGUAGAGGGUACAGCGCCUUCCCCUCGGAGGAUGUGGUAAUGAGCUGAGGCUGACCACAGGCCCCUCCAAAAGGAAGAAGGGCUUUGGUUGGCGUGUUUUGUAAAACUACGCAGCAGAGCCUGUGGCUCCUGUUGAGAAUGAGGCACUGCUAGUCCUAGUACACAAGGUGUGGGUAACAAUUUUAAGCCUGGUUGGUAGGAAAGGCACAGGUAGGGCUAGACUGGAGCAGAGUAAUUCUCAAGACAGGUGGGUGUCCCCAAACCAAUUCAGAUGAUUCACAUGUGUUAUCAAAAUUGGGAGUUCCCGCAGUGGCACAGUGGAUACGAACCUAACUAGUGUUCAUGAAGAUGCGGGUUCAAUUCCUGGCCUCUCUCAGUGGGUUAAGGAUCUGGCGUUGCCAUGAACUGUGGUGUAGGUCGCAGACAUGGCUCAGAUCUGGCAUUGCUGUGGCUCUGGCUUGACCCCUAGCCUGAGAACCUCCAUAUGCCGAGAGUGCGGCCCUAAAAAGACAAAAGACAAAAAUAAAGAAAUAAAGGAUCCAGCA
rnacentral:lncRNA from 1 species